rnacentral:tRNA from 1 species
GGGUUGCUAGCUCAGUCGGUAGAGCAUCUGACUUUUAAUCAGGUGGUCACAGGUUCGAUCCCUGUGCAACCCA